rnacentral:rRNA from 1 species
AAAAUGACUCUCGAAAAUGGAUAUCUCGGCUCUCGCGUCAAUGAAGAACGUAGCAAAAUGCAAUACUUGGUGUGAAUUGCAGAAUCCCGUGAACCAUCGAGUCUUUGAAUGCAAGUUACGCCUGACGCCAUUAGGGCGAGGGCACAUCUGCCUGGGUGUCAUGC